rnacentral:lncRNA from 1 species
AGGUGCCAGGAUCCCACACAGUUGUGCUUAUUCAUUUCCUGGCUACUGCCCAAUUUGUUGGUUUUUUAUUUUUUUUAAUUUUUUUUAAUUUUUUUUUCCAACGUUUAUUUAUUUUUGGGACAGAGAGAGACAGAGCAUGAACGGGCGAGAGGCAGAGAGAGAGGGAGACACAGAAUCGGAAACAGGCUCCAGGCUCUGAGCCAUCAGCCCAGAGCCCGACGCGGGGCUCGAACUCACGGACCGCGAGAUCGUGACCUGGCUGAAGUCGGACGCUUAACCGACUGCGCCACCCAGGCGCCCCUGUUGGUUUUUGAAUCAUGGAGAAUGUUGACCCCUAGGAGCACCUCUCUCAACGAGAACUAUCUCACGUAUCAUGAUAGCAGCAGAUAA